AAAAAGGCCCUUUUCAGGGCCGCAUAUAUAUCUGAAUUAAUAAAAU
rfam:Danaus plexippus plexippus isolate F-2 unplaced genomic scaffold DPSCF300001, whole genome shotgun sequence.